CGAGUUCUGUCAAAUACAUAGGCACCGUACUGGUCGUCAAUCCUGCUGCAAGACCAACCAAAAUUCGGCCGAGUAACAAGAGCUCUACGGAGCUAACAGCUCUGCAAAAUUGAAAACAUAUUCCACCUAGAAUAAGCAACACUCCGCAGCACAGUUUAUCUGCAACCCAAGCACCUCCUAAGGAACCUAUAACACCGCCUAUUAAAAAUAUGGAUACGACUAUUGCCCAGAAACUGUCUAAAUUACUGCUAUUCAGUACAGUACCGUAAGUUUCAAAAAUCGUAUCAUUGCACCAUACCUUGAUAAACUGUAAAUUGUAUUAGAGAAUUAUUAUGCUGUUUGCUAAAAGAAGAUGUGAUGUGCUUACAUUUGCAGGAGCAUUAAUUACACCUAUGUUGUAACCAGUAGGUAUUGCAGCGCCAAAGGUUGUAGAAAUGCCUGCUGUUAGGAGCCAGAACGUCCAUCUAUCCUCCUGUGAAAUAGAUAUUGACAGUUUGAAACAUUAUAAGAAACAAAAAUAUGACGAACUUCCCAUUCCAAUCGAACUCGAGGUACGAUUUUGUUCUAGCAACUCAGCCAUCCACUUGUAUCGAGAAUUGAAUCGUAAUGCUAGAUUUGCAACUUUCUUGCGUAUACUAAAUACUAUCAGGGAAAUGUCUCUGUCUAAACAAAAAUCACCCCUGAGUUUUACAACUUCGAAGCUAACCGUGUACAGAGGAUAGGAUAAUUGCGAGGAUACGAUCUUUCUAUUGACUUUAACGAUCCUCUCCAACCGAGAUCCCAACAUACGACUUGUAAGACCAGCAUACCUCAAACUCAACUAAACGGCUCAAACAAUAGUUAAAGUUCCUAAAUCAGAUUGUUUAAUUAAGCGCUUAAAAUGUGAUUCAUGCUGAUACCAAUUCUAUGAUAAUCGAGAGACUGCAACCUGAUGUAAUAUCAGCGCAUGUGAAAACCUAAUCACAGAUUAAACCCAAAAUUAAACCUCUGUUAGAAGGGUAUUUCAUCCGAAUGGCUUUUUAAUAAAAUGAGAUAGGUGAAAACAGUGCUACUAUUUAUAAAAGAAGGAACUUAUCAAUUUGAGAUAGUUUUUAGUUGUUUGUGAAUUGACGUUGUUUAUCUUUUAUCUGACACAAGUAUUUACUAUUACUAGAAAAUUAAACAAUCAACUUUUACUGCGCCUUUCAGAACACGUGGCAUCCUCAUAUCCAAUCUAAUCCGUUUAAGCUUCCAGAAAUUAUGGGCCUUAUUACAGAAGACUCUCCACUCGACUCGCCCUUGUAUUACGAAUGAUAGGUUGCCCGUCGAAGCUUCUGGAACAUGGCCUCAUGACUAGUAGCUUGCCAACCAACUGCAAACCUUCUAGCACUCCCGUAAACUCACUAAACUAGCUCGUAGUAAAAUAACAUCGCAAACGUGUACCAGUCCCUAAUCCAGUUCAGUUUUUCAAACUUCUUAAAAGUUAUAUAUACAAACAAAAUGUUUUCUUGCAACAUACAUUUUUAGAAGCGUCUUCAUCCAUAACGUAUUUCAAAUCCAACUUAAUCUUAAACUACGCGGCAAUGUAAGCUAGAUGUAAGCUUUAAUAGAAAGCGAGACAUACUCUUGUAAGCGCUCAACCGAUCUGAUUUGACUACUGGCAGUUACUAAAAGCGCUGGAAUCAAUCAUCAGCUUCUCGUAUCAGCCUAAGUUGCGUUCGAGAUAUGAAUCCAAGCUACUCUAUAUAAGCAGUCGAGAAGAAAAAAUACCUUCACGCUGUUGUUUCGUCUACAUAUUGUACUACAAGAUUUUGAUGUGAGUACAUAAUACUAGCUAAUGUUUAGCACGGGUCAGUUGAUAUUUUUUUUAUGUAAGAACUCUCUCAAGUGCUUUACGCUUAUCGGCGGUUACAAAUAAUUUGGAAAGCCUUUCAACAAGGAAGAUGCAUUUGAAAAUGAACAUUAGUUUUUUCAAGUUCGUAACAUUUUUGUUGGUAUUUAUCCAUAAAUAUGACAGGACACUGUUAUUUUUUUUUUGUGAUUUAAAUAUCAAACUUCGUUUUUUGUCAAUUUUUUUUAAAAUUAUAAUCUUCUAAGCAGGAGUAUUCGGGCACUAAAAACGAUCUUUAUAGUAGAGAUAGACACAUAGUCCGAUAGUAUAAUCCUUGAUCUAAUAAUAAUCUAAUAGGUAAUAAACACUUUGUACCCACCAGUGCAGUCUCACAA